GCCUGCGUAGUAUAAUGGUUAGUAUAUCAGUUUGUGGUACUCCAAUAUCAUCUCACUGACGAUCCAAGUUCGAUUCUUGGCACAGGCA